rnacentral:tRNA from 1 species
UGACAAGAAAUGAUUUAUCAUAUAUGAUUUCGGCUCAUACAUUAGGUGUAAUAUACACCCUUGUUAA